rnacentral:lncRNA from 1 species
UGCUGCCGGGGGGGGGGCCGGGGGGGGGGGACAGCAGAGACACGGGUGGGUGUCACCACGGGGCCCUGGGGACAGCAGGGACAUGGUCGGGGGACACCACAGGGCCCUGGGGACAGCAGAGAUGUGGGGGACCGUCCACCUGGGAAGGUCUUGGGGACGGCAGCGGGGAGGGGGACGCGGGCCGGCCUCCGGGGCGGCUCACACGGCGACGGGCUCCUGGACGUGGUUCUGGCGCUUCACCACGAAGAGCUUCUGCCCGGAGACGGUGACGAGCAGGGAGUGUUCCCCGAACACCACUGCGGGGACAGGGUGAGCGCGGGGCCACCGAGGCCACCACCGUCGCCCCGGGGACGCCACCCUCCUGGAGGCAGGGCGAGUGCGGGGCCACCGGGGUCGUCACCAUCACCCUGGGGACAGGGUGAGUGUGGGGCCACCACGGUCAUCACCAUCACCCUGGGGACACCGGGGACACCACUCCCUAGGGACAGAGUGAGCGUGGGGCCACCGAGGCCACCACCAUCACCCUGAGGACACUG